rnacentral:rRNA from 1 species
GGCGACCGGCGCACGGGUGAGUAACGCGUAUCCAACCUUCCUGCCAGUAGGGAACAGCCCGGCGAAAGUCGGAUUAAUGCCUAUGUUCUUCAAUGCGGACAUCUAAGUUGAAGGAAAGAUUCAUCGCUGGCAGAUGGGGAUGCGUCCGAUUAGCUUGCCGGCGGGGUAACGGCCCACCGGGGCGACGAUCGGUAGGGGUUCUGAGAGGAAGGUCCCCCACACUGGUACUGAGACACGGACCAGACUCCUACGGGAGGCAGCAGUGAGGAAUAUUGGUCAAUGGGCGUAAGCCUGAACCAGCCAAGUAGCGUGCAAGGAUGACGGCCCUACGGGUUGUAAACUGCUUUUAUGCGGGGAUAAAGUGCGGCACGUGUGCCGCUUUGCAGGUACCGCAUGAAUAAGGACCGGCUAAUUCCGUGCCAGCAGCCGC